AACCUGCCCUUCAGAGGGGGACAACAGUUGGAAACGACUGCUAAUACCGCAUACGAUUCAACCUCGGCAUCGAGGAUGGAUGAAAGGUGGCCUCUAUUUAUAAGCUAUCACUGAAGGAGGGGAUUGCGUCUGACUAGCUAGUUGGAGGGGUAACGGCCCACCAAGGCAAUGAUCAGUAGCCGGUCUGAGAGGAUGAACGGCCACAUUGGGACUGAGACACGGCCCAGACUCCUACGGGAGGCAGCAUG
rnacentral:rRNA from 1 species